GCUAAGCAAAGAUAAGAGAAAGAAAUGGUCCCGCACAUCUUGGAGGCUGAGCAUGCUAAUCAUAAAUACAGCAUGCAAGCCUGUCAACAGUUAAUGAAAAGAUAUGCUGCAUGGUUUUGGAGCAGUCUAAAACGAUUUUUAACGCAGAAGAAAAACACCCCCCCUCCCAGAUGCAUUGGGAUCCGUGAGGAGGGGGAAGUUGUGAAAAGAGUAUUUCUGCUCUAACCCCCGCCCCCCCCCAAUUCUGGAAAAACGAGGAACAAAACAUAAACUUGUGAUAUUUGGACUUUUAAAUCUCUAAGCCUGUGAGUACCUAAGAAAGAAAACAAAUUAAAUUGCAAACAGAACUAGUCAAACAGAUUUUUAUUACAACUGUUAAUACUGCAGAUUCCUAUUAAAUUUAGGUCCUGGAGUUACAG